AGUGUUUAUAGUGCUGUGAGUUUAACACUUCAUCACUGACACACACAACAAUCUUCAUCAACAUGACCUUCAUCAUCAUCUUCAUCUGGACUCUCACAGCGUUUGCUCAAGAGUGUAGAGGACAGAUCACCGUCACUCAGAGUCCCUCAAUAACAGCAGAACAACCAGGAGGAACUGUCAAUAUCAAAUGUAGAACCAGCACAGAUGUGUAUGGUGGAAAUUAUUUAUUCUGGUACUUACAGAAACCUGGAGAAGCUCCUAAACUCCUGAUUCGUUACGUAAAAACCCUCGAGUCAGGAACUCCAUCUAGAUUUAGUGGCAGUGGAUCUAACAGUGAUUUCACUCUGAGCAUCAGUGGAGUCCAGACUGAAGAUGCUGGACAUUAUUACUGUAUGAGUUUCCACUGCAGAACAAAUUUUCUUAAUAAAUGUGUGGGUGAUGGUGUGUUCACACAGUGAUAAAGAGUCGUACAAAAACCUCCGUCAGUCAGAGUCACAGUGACUGAACUGAAACUGCAGCUGCUCACACACACACACACACACACACACACACACACACACACACACACACACACACACA